CAUUGUCGCACGUGAUCCCGUUUCCAAUCCCUGUUAAACUAUGCUGAAACAAGUAUGCAACUAACAGUGGCCUUAUUGAAGCAAAAGAUUUUGUGGCAAAAUUUCCCUCUCACCCCACAUGUGUACAUCAAAGUAAUAUAUGGUCUGGAUCAGAGCUUAUCGUUUGCUACUUGUUUAACGUUAUUGUAGUACAGGUAAGUAUAUCAUAUAGGUAAGGUGAUGUAGCUAUGGCUUCAGCAGAUGUGUCCUUUCAGGAGGGUCUUGUUGGUGUGGAGUUGGUUGUGAGUACUUGUGAGUUCUCUUAUAGUGGUGGCCUCAGUUCAUUACAAUUGACCUGGAAAGUGUCUAGUUUCAGAGGCAAUUUCUGUGCUUCUUGAUUGUCCCUAUAUACGUACUAUAAUUAUGAGGUGUCAUUGAAAGGCAGUCAACAGUGUUAGGGCUAGGGUUAUAGGGUUAGCAUUUAGGUUUUGUUACUGUGGUGGUACAUGUGUUCUAGUGGGAGGGUCACUAGUUGAUGCUGGAUCCCUGGCCCUGUAGCUCACCUUUUGGGGGGGGGGGGGUGUAUUCAUUGCCUGCUUUCCUAGAAUUUACCUUUCUCAGAAGUGGUGGGAAUUAGAUUCAUGUGGUGGUGGCUCAAUAGCUAGCAUGGCUGGUGGCUGUUAGACUAGGGCCAUGCACUUGUCUGUGGUAGCAAGAUGUGGCAGAGUAAGCACAUUUGCUGUGUUUUGUGGUAACCUUAUCUACUUUCAACACAAACACACACACACACACACCAGAAGGUUAUUUAUACCCAUGUACUACUACUUUUAGCUGAGCUUGUUGACAAUUAAUGAUUACUUCUAGCUGGUUUUUCAUAGUCAUUGGAGACUAGGAGGCAAACUUUCUGUGACUCUCUGGCUACUUAUACUAGUAGUCAUUAACCAACCUGCGCAUGAUCCCCAGCAAUCCCCUCCAUUCUGUUAUCAGUGCAUACACUUUUUACUAGAUUCCUAUGCAAGCUAGAUACAUUACUGCUAACCCUUGCUAAUCCACACAGCUAGCCAGAUAUUAUAAGCUCAGUAAAGCCAGAGGUAAGUUGUAUGGUAACCUGAGCAAAUAACCCUAUAGUCCAACCUCCUUUGCACACACACCAUGUGCUGUAUACUUUUUCUGUAUUUUGAGGCCAUAAGAAUCACUAAAAGUUCAGCCCUGCUGGAAAACACUAUAGUGAUUCCUACUGCAUGUGACCUCUUCUGCACAUGAUUAUAACACCCAGUUCUACACACAUGUGCAGAGAAGGUCAAACAUGUGGUAUAUAUGAAUCACUGCAAAUUCAAUUUACUGUGUCUGCACGUUAUGAAAUGUUACAAAUAUACACUGAACUCAAAUAUAUACUGAACUACACCCAGAGGAGGUUCGGACACUGAACUAAUAUAUACUGAACUACACCCAGAGGAGGUUCGGACACUGAACUAAUAUACACUGAACUACACCCAGAGGAGGUUCGGACUGAACUAAUAUACAUUGAACUACACCCAGAGGAGGUUCGGACACUGAACUAAUAUACACUGAACUACACCCAGAGGAGGUUCGGACACUGAACUAAUAUACACUGAACUACACCCAGAGGAGGUUCGGACACUGAACUAAUAUACACUGAACUACACCCAGAGGAGGUUCGGACAAUGAACUAAUAUAUACUGAACUACACCCAGAGGAGGUUCGGACUAAUAUAUACUAAACUACACCCAGAGGAGGUUCGGACACUGAACUAAUAUACACUGAACUACACCCAGAGGAGGUUCGGACACCGCUACGAAUCACUACAACGAAUCACUACAAGUUCAAUGUACUGUGUCUGCAUGCAUGUUAUAAAUGACAUUGAUCUACAUCAAAAUAAAGGAAGUCUCUUGUUCUAUGCUGAUGAUCUUCUUUACCAUCCUAUUCAAUCUCCUGGUCCCCUACUUAAAGUUGACCACUACAAGUACCUUGGCGUGUGGAUCUCUCAUGACCUCUCAUGGUCAAAACACAUAGAAGGAAUGUGCAGAAAUGCCUGCAAGCAGGUUGGUAUAAUUUACUGACAGUUCUAUGGCCACUUGUCACUAGAAUGUUUAAGACAACUCUACAUCUCACUUGUGAGAUCAAAACUGGAAUAUGCUGCCCCUGUUUGGGAUCCACACCAAAAAACAAAUUCUCAAAGUUUGCCCUUAAAAUGUGCACAAAACUUUGGAAUAGGGACUACGACUCCCUAUUAAAAAAAAAAAUAAAUAACUACCUGACCAGAAAUGAACACUGAACUUGUAGUGAUUUGUACUGCAUGUCCAAAGUAACCCUACACCCUACACAAUGCACAUCCAUGCACACUAUACACGUACACUACACCCUGCCCCAGUUAUAUAGUCCGAGAGCCUUAAUUUGUGCGGAUGUAUUGCUUAGAAACUGGUGUUCAGCUCUUACCCAUUUACCGUAUAGCGGGUAAUUUUUGGGGGAGAAAAUAUUCGUGGUUCAGACAUUUCGUGGGUAAUAUUUUCGUGGUUGGAGCUUGCACUGCAGGUAAAGGUAGGCAAGGUCGCUUCAUUCGUGGGUAAAAUAUUCGUGGUCAGACCUCCAACCACGAAAACCACGAAUAUUUUGCCCCACGAAAAUUACACGCUAUACGUACUUAACCCACCUUGACCACAUCCUGCUGAUAAAGUCAUGCGUGGUAAAACAAAAUUAUGGCAACCACCAGGUCCCCAUGUGUAUAUGUAGUACCAAUUAACCUGUUGGUUGUAAAGAUUGCUAAAUAGAUCUUUUGCCCUAUAUAAUCAUUGCUGGCCCACUCAGUAUAGUUCUUAGCUCUGGGUGCCAGUUGCGUACCCAUACAGUGCACAUUUUAUUAACCGAGUCGCGUAGACGGCCACCAAUAUAGUAGUCCGCUGAGGUGGGUGUCUUGAGUCUUCUCACCUGGAUGCCGAAGGGUUGUGUUUGCAGCAUCAAUAUAUAGCCAAGUAAUUUCUUGUUGAAUAGAAGCGAGCAAAGGCUAAGAAGCUUGAACUUGCACGUUACCUACAGAAGUGCUAUAUAGCUUUUAUAGGCUAGCCAUAUACAGGUUUGAUUCGAGGCAUUUUAUGGCCUACCACACUGCAAAAACACUUUUGUUAUUGUGACACAGUUUGCUACCGGCACAAAAUGUUAUCUUGACAAAACGUUUGUCAAUUUCCUGCAAUUAUUGUUAUAAUGACAAAUCAUAGUUUAUUUAACUAUUAAUAUAGUUUAUCUAACUAUUAAUAUUUGUUAUUAUAAUGGUAGAUUGUUAUUUGAACACAUGUGUUGUCAUUUUGUCGAAGCGUUGUUGAUCUCACAUUUAGUGGAAGUUAUCGUUCAUUGUCAAAUUAACAUUAAUGUGUGACAAUAACAAAUUAUAAAGUUACAGCUAGAACUCUACUAAAAGAUACGUGCAAGUUUGCAUCGCUGAUUUCAACCUACUCAACCUAUACUCGAUUACUCAGUUGCCCUGAUGCUUAUAUCUUUGCAUGCUCAUGUUCAAUUGUGUUGUAUGUAGCAAUUGGAGACUUGUGACUGGGCAUGGUAAGUUACAGUGGCAGUGAAGAAGUCAGGAGCCUCCAGAGUCUUCAGUGCAGUGCAGUGCAGGCAGCCUUCUCUCUAGCCUCCUUCACAUGCACAAGGCCUGGCCUGAAGAGCGGCCUGGGAUCGAGGCUACCUUCUCUCUAGUCUCUAACUCUAGCUAGUCUCGAGGUCAGAUUCUGAUAAGGAGAGUUUGGCCUCGAGACUAUAAUUUUAAGCUGGAACUAUAGGCGUGGCAUGAGGGGGCGUUCAGGAAUAACAGGGCAAGGCCUCAAACAUACUUAGCACAUGGUGCUUGCAGCUGCACCAGACUGCAGCUGCUCAUGCAGCUUUAUACCAUCACUGACUGCAUGCCUGUACCCCUGGCCCUGGGCUACCAUGUUCCAUGUACACCAGCUAGGAUCUAGGAGUCAAGAGUCACCUGCAUCUGCAGCUUGAAAGAAAAGACAAUUGCAAAUUUUCUUAAAGAGUAGAUAGUACCACCAUCUCAAAGAAAAAAGUUAAGUUCCAUUGCAUGCUGUUGGCGCAUGGCAUGUACAUGAUCCCAAAACUCUCUGAAUUCACAGUUUACAAAUCACUGCUAUACCGUAUCGGCGUAUAACUCCACCAUGUACCAGCUUCAAAGAAAAAGGAUUUAAGUUAUGUUGCUCAUUGCUAAAUAAAUGUGUUCUCGUGUUUCUUCCAGCUGCAGAUUUUACCGUACCUCGGCCCCACAAUGUGUACCAGCUAGGAGUCUACUUAACCACCUUCAUCGACUUCAAAGAAACGACUUGCAAGUUAUGUCAGAUUCCAUAAAACUAUAUAGCUAGCUAGAGGGCAACUGUCCCUGGCCUGGUUUCGACCUUUAUCUGUAGCAUACUGAUUUACGAGUUCGUGUCUUCAUGCACUGGUUUCGACUGGUCAACUUCGUCCAUGGGGUGAUAGCUAGUAUACUGAUUUACGAGUUUGUGUAUAUGUGUCCUCACGUGUCAGUUACACUGGUUUCGACUGGUCAACUUCGUCCAUGGGGUGAUAGCUAGCAUACUGAUUUACGAGUUUGUGUGUAUGUGUCCUCACGUGUCAGUUACACUGGUUUCGACUGGUCAACUUCGUCCAUGGGGUGAUAGCUAGCAUUGUAAUUUACCAGUUUGUGUGUAUGUGUCCUCAUGCGUCAGUUACACUGGUUUCGACUGAUCAACUUCGUCCAUGGGGUGAUAGCUAGCAUUGUAAUUUACCAGUUUGUGUGUAUGUGUCCUCAUGUGUCAGUUACACUGGUUUCGACUGGUCAACUUCGUCCAUGGGGUGAUAGCUAGCAUUGUAAUUUACCAGUUUGUGUGUAUGUGUCCUCACGCGUCAGUUACACUGGUUUCGACUGGUCAACUUCGUCCAUGGGGUGAUAGCUAGCAUUGUAAUUUACCAGUUUGUGUGUAUGUGUCCUCAUGCGUCAGUUACACUGGUUUCGACUGGUCAACUUCGUCCAUGGGGAUGAUAGCUAGCAUUGUAAUUUACUAGUUUGUGUGUAUGUGUCCUCACGUGUCAGUUACACUGGUUUCGACUGGUCGACUUCGUCCAUGGGGUGAUAGCUAGCAUACUGAUUUACGAGUUUGUGUGUAUGUGUCCUCAUGUGUCAGUUACACUGGUUUCGACUGGUCAACUUCGUCCAUGGGGUGAUAGCUAGCAUACUGAUUUACAAGUUUGUGUGUAUGUGUCCUCAUGUGUCAGUUACACUGGUUUCGACUGGUCAACUUUGUCCAUGGGGUGAUAGCUAGCAUACUGAUUUACGAUUUUGUGUGUAUGUGUCCUCACGUGUCAGUUACACUGGUUUCGACUGGUCAACUUUGUCCAUGGGGUGAUAGCUUAUACUAUUUACAUUUUGCACUACAUAUGUGUUGGUAACUAUAGUGACUUCAAUCUUUUGUUCUGUAGGGGCGAAAAUGAUCUGAGGGAUGUAGCGUUCAUGAAACCAAACGAAACGCCUGCAGUUCACUGUACUGGAAUUUCAAGAAACGCUAAGUGAUGAACACUAAAAACAAUUUACUGACAGAAGAAAUUAUUGUGCUGCGUGUCAUGUGAUCCAGUGAUCUUAUUCUAUCAUAAACUCAUUGUUCUAAUACCGUUUGACCUUCUGCAUGUGCGUACGUGCGCGAG